rnacentral:rRNA from 1 species
AGUGAACGCUGGCGGUAGGCCUAGCACAUGCAAGUCGAACGGCAGCACAGUAAGCGUUUGCCCUUACGGGUGGCGGGUGGCGGACGGGUGAGGCAUACAUCGGCUUCUUCUUUUUCGUGGGGGAUAACGUAGGGCAAGUUCUGAUACUACCGCAUAUGACCUACGGGUGAAAGCAGUAGAUAUUCGCACCUUGCGCGAUUGAAUGAGCCGAUGUCGGAUUAGCUAGUUGGCGGGGUAAAGGACCACCAAGGCGACGCGCCGUAGCUGGUCCGAGCGGAUGAUCGGCCACACUGAAACUGAGACACGGUCCAGACUCCUACGGAAGGCAGCGGUGGGGAAUAUUGGACAAUGGGCGCAAGCCUGAGCCAGCCAGACCGCGUGGGUGAAGAAGGCCUUCGGGUUGUAAAGCCCUUUUGUUGGGAAAAAAAAGCAGCAGAUUAAUACCCCGCUGUUCUGACGGAACCCAAAAAAUAAGCACCGGCUAACUUCGU